CCUANGGGCGGCUGCAGUGAGGAAUCUUGGACAAUGGGGGAAACCCUGAUCCAGCGACGCCGCGUGAAGGAUGAAGGUCUUCGGAUUGUAAACUUCUUUUGUUCGGGAAUAAAAAAUCUGUGGAAAUACGGAGAUUGAAGGUACCGGAUGAAUAAGCCACGGCUAACUUCGUGCCAGCAGCCGCGGUAAUACGAAGGUGGCAAGCGUUACUCGGAAUUACUAGGCGUAAAGGGCAGGUAGGUGGUUUGAUAAGUCUGUUGUGUAAGCUCCCGGCUUAACUGGGAGAGGUCAACAGAAACUGUCAGACUUGAGUAUAGGAGAUGGUACUGGAAUUCCCGGUGUAGCGGUGAAAUGCGCAGAGAUCGGGAGGAACACCAAUGGCGAAAGCAGGUACCUGGACUAUUACUGACACUCAGCUGCGAAAGCUAGGGGAGCAAACAGGAUUAGAUACCCCANUANUC
rnacentral:rRNA from 1 species